AAAAAACUAUAAAAAAAAAAAAAAAAAAACCAAAAUAUUUUUGUAAACCCCUUCAUUUUGAUCGUUUAGGUUCAUCUUAAUUUGUUUAAUUUUAUUAUGGUUUAUAUUUUGGAAUGUUACUUUUUUACAGAACCAAGAUCUUGUGAUCGAUCACAUGCAUAAGAGAUCUAGGCAUUGGUCGUAUUUGGACCCACCGGUUUGAUCUAUG
rnacentral:lncRNA from 1 species